CCUGACUGCUAUCGGAUUGAUACUAAGCCAUGCGAGUCGUUGUAGCAAUACAAGGCAGACGGCUCAGUAACACGUAGUCAACCUACCCUAUGGUCGGGGAUAAUCUCGGGAAACUGAGCAUAAUACCCGAUAGGUCAUAAUGCCUGGAAUGGUUUAUGGCCCAAAUGAUUUAUCGCCAUAGGAUGGGACUGCGGUCUAUCAGCUUGUUGGUGAGGUAAUGGCCCACCAAGGCAAUAACAGAUACGGGCUCUGAGAGGAGAAGCCCGGAGAUGGGUACUGAGACACGGACCCAGGCCCUAUGGGGCGCAGCAGGCGAGAAAACUUUGCAAUGUGCGAAAGCACGACAAGGUUAAUCCGAGUGUUUCCUGCUAAAGGAAUCUUUUGUCGAUCCUAAAAACACCGAUGAAUAAGGGGUGGGCAAGUUCUGGUGUCAGCCGCCGCGGUAAAACCAGCACCUCAAGUGGUCAGGAGGAUUAUUGGGCCUAAAGCAUCCGUAGCCGGCUGUGUUAGUCUCCGGUUAAAUCCAUAUGCUUAACAUAUGGGCUGCCGGAGAUACUGCACAGCUAGGGAGUGGGAGAGGUAGACGGUACUUGGUAGGAAGGGGUAAAAUCCUUUAAUCUACUGAUGACCACCUGUGGCGAAGGCGGUCUACUAGAACACGUCCGACGGUGAGGGAUGAAAGCUGGGGAGCAAACCGGAUUAGAUACCCGGGUAGUCCCAGCUGUAAACAAUGCAAACUCAGUGAUGCGCUGGCUUGUGCCAGCGCAGUGCGCAGGAAGCCGUUAAGUUUGCCGCCUGGGAA
rnacentral:rRNA from 1 species